GAUAACGGUUAGCCAUACUUUCAGAGAUUUUACAAAAAAUCUCAUUUUUUUUUUCAAAUUCACUGUUACAUAUAUACAUGUAUCUCAAAAAGUUUUGUAAAUGUAGUAUUUGAGUCUUUUGUCCUCGUGGAUAGCAAAUGACAGUUAUCAAUUGGUAAACAGUUUUAAUGAAGAAAGCGUAAUUUUAUGCAACAAAAUUUUGACAUAAAUACGAAAAUUAAGCUUUAUUUUGGAGAGAACAGGGAGAGUUAUAUUUGUUUAAGUAGAGAGACAAUAAGUAUAAUUUCACUUUAUUCUAUCUUCCUGAAGGCUUUGUGACUUUUUAUAUGUUAUUCUAUUUAGCUUGUAUAUUCUGUUUUCUAGUUUGGCAAUGCUUUCGUAUUUGACCAUUCUUAUGUAAUAUCAAUUUAGCUUUUCACUAACCUGAAGUACAAAUAAUAAAUUGCAAAUUCUAAUCUGUUUUAUAUUUUUACCUGUCGAUAUUGAUUUUUUCUCCAGUCGGUUGAUAUUAUCCCUGUCGAUUUAUGUUUACCCUGUCGAUUGAUUGUUUCCCCUGUCGAUUUAUUUUCUCCCUGUCAAUUGAUUUUUUUCCUAUGUCGAUUGAUGUUUUCCCCGUCGAUUGAUUGCCCCCUGUCGAUUUGUUUCCCACUGUCGAUUGAUUUCCUUCUGUCGACUGGUUUCACCCCUGUCUAUUAAUUUCCCCCAUUGGAUUGAUUUUUCCCCUGUCGAUUUACUUCCACCCUGGGAUUUUUAUCUACUGAUCAACGUGUAUUUCGCUUGAUCAUAGUUCUUUAUUGAUAAAAAUUCAAUUUUGUCGUUAAACUCUCUUGUUGUAGUCAGAAUUUCUCAUUCCUGUUCACUUAUGGUGAUCGCAUUUUUUUACCGAACAUUGUUUGGCAGAUAAAUUAAGAUUCGAACUAUCAACUUCAGUUUUGACAGGCUAGUUAUACAAUUGUUGGACUACUUAUACCAAUCGUCCUCCGAGGAUUUUUGUAUAAAACAAUACUAGAACACAACCGCGAAAUCGCGGGCAUUUUAAGCUUUGUUUGGAGUAUGUAAAUUAACUCAUCAUAGAUACAACUGUUG
rnacentral:lncRNA from 1 species